UCCAGCUCCCAAUAGCGUAUAUUAAAGUUGUUGCAGUUAAAAAGCUCGUAGUUGGAUUUCGGAAGGUCCUUAGCAAUCCGCCCCUUCGGGGAGCGGGUUGCUGGCCUCCUAUGUUCCUAACGGUCCUCAUCCGCGAGGGUGGGGAAUCAACCGCUAGGAUCGUUUACUUUGAGGAAAUUAGAGUGUUCAAAGCAGGCGUAACUCGCCUCCGAAUACGUUAGCAUGGGAUAAUGGAAUACGACUUCGGUCUUGUUUCGUUGGUUUCGCUUGGCUGAAGUAAUGAUUGAUAGGGACAGUUGGGGGCAUUAGUAUUUAGUUGUCAGAGGUGAAAUUCUAGGAUUUACUAAAGACUGACCAAUGCGAAAGCAUUUGCCAAGGAUGUUUUCAUUAAUCAAGAACGAAAGUAGGGGGAUCGAAGACGAUCAGAUACCGUCGUAGUCUCUACCGUAAACUAUGCCGACCAGGGAUCCGGAGAGUUUGCAUGGAUGACUCCCCGGGCACCUUGUGAGAAAUCAUAAGUGUUUGGGUUUUGGGGGGAGUAUGGUCGCAAGGCUGAAACUAAAGGAAUGACGAACGWACCCUCMCCAWUC
rnacentral:rRNA from 1 species